AGAAGACAAAAUAGAAUGACAUGACCAGUGUUUUCACUGCUUCUGAAAUGAGAUUUGUGAUAAUAUUUGCCUCUUAAAAGAACAUGCCCAUGGAGCCACGGAGGAUACAGAAGUGAACAAAGCAGACAGAAACCAGACGUCCCCACACAUCCUGCUUCCUGAACACCAGGCUCGUUCUAAACAAUGUCUCAUGUCAGCACAUAAACUCACUCCGUGAAUGCACAACCUCAGCAGAGAGACGGUACCACUGACACGACACAGAUGAGGAAACCGAGAAACUGAACGCCAGCUUUGGAACAAGUCCUCUGGGCAGAAGAGGCCCCGCACAAGCAUCACGAACUACAGUAACAGCAGGUGCUAGAUAAGAGACCCAGCCAGACAAAGCAGCCACGGCACGAAUAAUUACUUCCACUUUCGGGACUAAGGGUUAUCACCUGGUUUACAUCACGCCAGUACCACAAGGUCUGAUAAAUCUGUAUUUGGGGGACUGUAAAAGAGGGACAGUAUCAUAGAUUUCAGCAACUAUAGAAAUUAUCCCUGAGAGUAUAGCCUUGGUAUCCCAGAUUUCACAACGUCUGCAAGAAGGUACUGGUACAGUCUCAGAGUAGAACUUCAUAAGAAGAGAACCGACUACAGCUCUCUUUCAGCUGUGUAUCCGGGAAAGACGCUUCUCAGCACCCUGUACUCCCAGGGUCACAGACGCUAAGGUGGGACAUUCUCCGUGUUGUGCUUCACCCACAUUCCUAGUGUAUCGAGAACAUUCACUAGGGUUCGUUCUCUUCCGGUGCAUCACGCUGCCCACUUGCGGCGGCCUGGACUGCCCUCCUCCCACACUCAGAUGCUCAAGGCCCAAGCCCUCGCACCUCAGAAACUAACCAUGUAUGAAGAUAAAGUCUUACGUGUUGCAUGCCAGCCCGAGACCAUUAAAGUGGGCCCUAAUCUGGCUGGUGUCUAA